rnacentral:rRNA from 1 species
UACGUAGGGGCCUAGCGUUGUCCGGAUUUAUUGGGCGUAAAGAGCUCGUAGGCGGUUUGGUGAGUCGGGUGUGAAAUCUCCACGCUCAACGUGGAGGGGCCACCCGAUACUGCCAUGACUAGAGUCCGGUAGGGGAGUGUGGAAUUCCCGGUGUAGCGGUGAAAUGCGCAGAUAUCGGGAGGAACACCGGUGGCGAAGGCGGUUCUCUGGGCAUGACCUGACGCUGAGGAGCGAAAGUGUGGGGAGCGAACAGG